CUUGGUUUCUGUUUAUGCUGGGGCGUUGACUGAGUCCCUAGAGGACACUGGGCACCUCCCGGCCCUUCCUAAGUAUGAAAGAGAAGGGGCCCCGGCACAGCUGAAAGCCAUCUGAGGCACGAGCUGGUGGCGGCGGUCCGGACACAGGCCCCAGGUGGCCGUGACGGCCCUGGGACGCCCUCUCCCUCCUGCCACAGGCGGGGCACGCAGAGGCACAGAGGCCCCGGGCUCCGUCCUCAGCCUCGGCUGGAGAAAGAAACAGGGAGAGCACAGUCAGAGGUGGUGGGAGGGGAGGAAACACGUAAUGUGGAUUGCGGAAAUGAAUGAAGACCAACACAACGAGAAAGCAAAGGCGCCUGGAUCAGAGUUUGCCAGGUUGCCGGCCGCCCUCGCGUGUGUUCCAGCGGAGACUCACGGCAGAGGAGAGGGAAGGCUUUGCAGUGGGACAAACGGAAGGCCCCGGGCGUGCCCAGCUUGGAGGCUGUUGGCCUGGAAGGCUGGAGGAGUGUUGACGUGACAGGCCCCAGGAGCUCCAAAGUAGGAAUUGCGUGGGGAGGGCCUCAGAGGCUGGCGUGGGGGCUGCCGGUGAGCCUGGGAGGGUUGCGGCAUUGUAGGUAGGACAGGAGGAAUUCCCAGUGGGAACCACAGUGACCGUAAAAGGAGCAGCAUUCUUUAAAACAGAGCUUCUCAAACUGCGAUGUUCCCGGAAGCACGCAGAGGCCCUGUGCGAAUGCGGACGCAGGGCAAGGCCGCUGGGCUCUGUGCCUGGGCAGCGCUGUGCCUUCGGCUCCCAGGUGCUGCUUUCGGAAGCAAGGAUUUGGGGCAUCGCUGCGUUUCCUGCAGCGCCGGCCUGGCCGGUUCUGCUGUAACACACUCCAGCCUGGACCCUUCGGUGGGUGGGAUUCCAUUUUCUUUCAAGAGAGAACUCCAUUUGAAAGCGUGGCCAUCCCGGGCGCUGUCAGCUGUUGGCCUGGCUUCUUUCUUCCCGGGCUUUGCUAUCAGCGCCUCUAUCCCGCAGCCGUUCAUUGUUCAUGCAUCAGGCGCACAGUCCCAGUGUUCAUUCUGCCAUUACCAAAACCACUGAAAUUGUAAUCACUGCUCUUUAAUAAUUCUGAAUAUCAAAGGAAGACAAUUCUCACAGGUUUGAGUUACCAUUUGGUGUCAUUUUCUUCUCACAGAACAGCUUUGUUCCCAGUACCUCCUUUGUUCUCUUAUUGUCAAAUAUGUCGCAUUUCUAUAUGUUAUAGUGCCCACAAUAUAGUAUGAUUGCAUAUGUAUUGUCUUAAGCAAUUGCUUUUUAAAUAAGUAAAGAUAAGAAACCGAAAUGUACAAGUGCACUGUCUUUAGUAAUUAUGUACAAAAUUACCUUUGCCAGUGUUUCUGUGUGUGUAUAGAAUUACUGUCUGGUGUUGCUUGCUUUCAGGUUCAAGAACUUUCUUUGGUAUUUCUUGUAAGGCAGAUCUUCUAGCAAUAAAUUUAGUUUUUGUUUAUCUGAAAA
rnacentral:lncRNA from 10 species